GAUCGCAAGGUUAAAACUCAAAGGAAUUGACGGGGACCCGCACAAGCGGUGGAACAUGUGGUUUAAUUCGAUGCUACGCGAAAAACCUUACCAAGUCUUGACAUGUUAGUCGUAUAGCUAAGAAACUAGCUAGUCAGUUCGGCUGGACUAUCACAGGUGUUGCAUGGCUGUCGUCAGCUCGUGUCGUGAGAUGUUGGGUUAAGUCCCGCAACGAGCGCAACCCUUAUCUUUAAUUGCCAACAGGUAAUGCUGGGAACUUUAAAGAAACUGCCAAUGGAGAAUUGGAGGAAGGUGAGGAUGACGUCAAGUCAGCAUGGCCCUUAUGACUUGGGCUACACACGUGUUACAAUGGUAGUUACAAUAUGAUGCAAUAGGGCGACCUGGAGCAAAUCUCAAAAAGCUACCUCAGUUCGGAUUGUACCCUGCAACUCGGGUGCAUGAAGUUGGAAUCGCUAGUAAUCGCAGAUCAGCACGCUGCGGUGAAUACGUUCUCGGGUCUUGUACACACUGCCCGUCAAGCCAUGGAAGUUAAAUUUUCCUUAAGUAAAUGAGCUAACUGCAAAGAGGCAGUUUACCAAGGAGAAUUUGAUGACUGGGGUU
rnacentral:rRNA from 1 species